rnacentral:rRNA from 1 species
UUUGAUCCUGGCUCAGGAUGAACGCUAGCGGCAGGCUUAAUACAUGCAAGUCGAGGGGCAGCAUGGUGUAGCAAUACACUGAUGGCGACCGGCAAACGGGUGCGGAACACGUACAGAACCUUCCUUCGAGCGGGGAAUAGCCCAGAGAAAUUUGGAUUAAUACUCCAUAGCAUAACAGAGUGGCAUCACUUUGUUAUUAAAGAUUUAUCACUUGAAGAUGGCUGUGCGGCUGAUUAGGUAGUUGGCGGGGUAACGGCCCACCAAGCCUGCGAUCAGUAACUGGUGUGAGAGCACGACCAGUCACACGGGCACUGAGACACGGGCCCGACUCCUACGGGAGGCAGCAGUAAGGAAUAUUGGUCAAUGGACGAAAGUCUGAACCAGCCAUGCCGCGUGGAGGAUGAAGGUCCUCUGGAUUGUAAACUUCUUUUAUCUGGGACGAAAAAAGGUCUUUCUAGAUCGUCUGACGGUACCAGAUGAAUAAGCACCGGCUAACUCCGUGCCAGCAGCCGCGGUAAUACGGAGGGUGCAAGCGUUAUCCGGAUUCACUGGGUUUAAAGGGUGCGUAGGUGGGUUGGUAAGUCAGUGGUGAAAUCUUCGAGCUUAACUCGGAAACUGCCAUUGAUACUAUCAGUCUUGAAUAUUGUGGAGGUUAGCGGAAUAUGUCAUGUAGCGGUGAAAUGCUUAGAUAUGACAUAGAACACCAAUUGCGAAGGCAGCUGGCUACACAUAUAUUGACACUGAGGCACGAAAGCGUGGGGAUCAAACAGGAUUAGAUACCCUGGUAGUCCA